CUGGAGACAGUAAAGCUCACCGGUGCUCAGGCCUGAGGCGGCGGUGUCACCAGAAAGCUCAGGAAGUCUGAGAAGGGACAGCUUUUUGAUUUUUGAGAUUUCGCCAACCUAGGAAACCCUCUCAAAGGUAGAACUUUCCGGCAGCAGCACUUUCUGCGUUUUAGGGGACAUUAUCUGUCACGGGAAGGGAUCCUAGCAGUUGGUACGUGAAUGGAGCCGUCUCCGAGAAGUCUUUCAUUGAGCACACAGUCCUCCAAAGGGAAAGAGAAACAUGCUGUACAUGAACAUUAGUGGCAGCGGAAAUUUGUCACACCGAAGAUCAAAAAGCACAGCCAGCUUCUGAGAGUUUAUCUACUGCAAGAUGAAUCGCCCAGAGACCCCUGGUGCAUCUUUCUUUACACUUCACCUCCCCCACUACGGAUGAGAAAUAGACUUUUCCCUCAUCCAUCAUAAGUCAGCAUGACAGGGCUGUCGUUCCCCAGGCCCGGCUCACUGUGUCAUCCUUCCCUCUGUCCUGCUUCAGUGCGUGGCUGGCUUGCUUGGGAACAGCCGAGACCUUUACAAAAGACUUUGAAUGGUCUGCACCCGACAUUGUUCUGACCAAUGGGAUGAGAGCAGAAGCGAUGUAUUCCACUUUAUGGUCCUGUGUUUAGAAGGAAUACAUGAGUGAUUCCCUUGUUCCCUUACUCCUUCUGGCUCUUUGGAUUACAGAUGUGAUGUGGCCUUAAGGCAGAAUCUUUAGGGAGCAUCAAUGGUAGCAGCUCCAAAAGCUAAGCUGUAUGCUGCAAAGUGAGUUAUGUGUUGGACUCCAGGGCUGAGCCCUUUUGAUAUGCCAGUCUUAAGCUGACAUUUAACAUUUGCUCAAAGAUACAGUCUUGAUAGAGCAUGACUUGCUGCCCCCAUCCCCACCGCCCUGCCCUUCAGCCCAU